ACCAAUGGUAUCAGUGGUAGGGGAGCGUUCUAAGGACAGUGAAGUCAGACCGGAAGGACUGGUGGAGUGCUUAGAAGUGAGAAUGCCGGUAUGAGUAGCGAAAGACGGGUGAGAAUCCCGUCCACCGAAUGCCUAAGGUUUCCUGAGGAAGGCUCGUCCGCUCAGGGUUAGUCAGGACCUAAGCCGAGGCCGACAGGCGUAGGCGAUGGACAACAGGUUGAUAUUCCUGUACCACCUCUUUAUCGUUUGAGCAAUGGAGGGACGCAGAAGGAUAGAAGAAGCGUGCGAUUGGUUGUGCACGUCCAAGCAGUUAGGCUGAUAAGUAGGCAAAUCCGCUUAUCGUGAAGGCUGAGCUGUGAUGGGGAAGCUCCUUAUGGAGCGAAGUCUUUGAUUCCCCGCUGCCAAGAAAAGCUUCUAGCGAGAUAAAAGGUGCCUGUACCGCAAACCGACACAGGUAGGCGAGGAGAGAAUCCUAAGG
rnacentral:rRNA from 1 species